ensembl:lncRNA
GCAGAAUGGUGUGGGUGUACCCCAACAGCAGAAUGGUGUGGGUGUACCCCAACAGCAGAAUGGUGUGGGUGUACCCCAACAGCAGAAUGGUGUGGGUGUACCCCAACAGCAGAAUGGUGUGGGUGUACCCCAACAGCAGAAUGGUGUGGUUGUAGACCGCCUACUUGCCAGCUCCUCAGGAGGUGGGCUUUUCUGUGGGUUUUUUCUCCAAUGUAUUAUUUUCCACAAAUACGAGUAUAGGACGAGUCAACAACAUUAUUUGUGUACGAGUUAACAGAAUAUUAACUUUCAAAAAAGUGACAUUCUAUAGACGGUUUGCUGUGAAGACCACUGAUUGAAUGAUCAUUUGAAAAGGACUUGGAGCACAACUUCAUGAGCUUUGUUGUCAUUUGAAUAAUACUUUAAUGUGAAAUGAACAAUGAAUAUAUAUAGUUUCUAAAUAAUUGUCUAUUUCUUUCUUCGUGUUCAGGAAAGGAAAUAGUGUUUACUUCAGGUAUGUCUUUAUUAUUGCGUUAGUGAAUACUGCGGUUGGUAGGUAAUGCUCAACUUUCACAUUCCCAUACUGCCCUCAUGUGGUGAAAAACAUACACUUCAAGAUAUCUUUCAAGUAAAUCCUCUCCCGAACAAUCUUGCUGUUGCCUUUAUACGAGUCACACACCACAACGUUCCAUAGGCACUGGAAAUCACCUUUUACUUGAAUAAUUAGGAAGUGUCCAGGAAGUCAUGAAGGUAAUACAUUGUUUAAGCAUAAAUACAGCUCCUAUUAUGACUGCCUACUAUUAUUCUAAUGCUUCAUAUUCAGUGACAGACUUAAGACAAGUAAUACCUAGGCCUACAGUUAUCAUGAAAAAUGCAUAUUAAUACAAGAUAUACUAUACUGAGUUUCCCUGAGAAAAUACCAGUGAUAUUUGCAUAGAGUAAAUAAAGUGACCAUUGUGUAAAUUACUUUUAUACGCAAUAGAUUAGGUACACAAGUCUGACUUGUCUUGUUAACUAAAAAGAUCGCGAGUUUGGCAUUGCAUCAAGUGUCCGCUGGUAAUUGUCUGCCUCUGAAUCUCUGAACUCAACUCAUACAGUCUUGGGCAUCCUCUGUUGUUGACAUGGCAACCGGCUUUACAUCAUGAGUCUUAUAAUCUUCAGGAAUUCCAUCUUCUGUUUUCCCCCUGGGAGUUGAAUGUGACUCGGGUAAAUUGUAAUUCCCUGCAUCUCAACCAAGUUUUCUUCUGGGCUUCAUUCAGCAGACACUAGUCUGGUGUCUACACAGGUGUCUAUAGCCACAGUGGACACAGCAAAGGAGGAGAGGAUGAUGAUGGAUGUGCCUACAAACUGUGUGGAGGCCCCUCUGGGGGCUACCUUCAUGGCCCUCCUGGGGAGGGAGUCAGGGUCUGCAGCCUGGGCCACCAUGGUCUGGGCAAUGGGUUCCAUGCUUUUCUCUGGUGGUCUGGUAGAGACUGGAGCUCAGAUACUUCUGGAGCUGAUGGUUAAGUCCUCUUGCCCCACAAAGUGCUGCUUCUGGGGCUGGGUCUCUCUUUGGUCCAGUGGAGCUCAGGCAAACAUCCGGGGACUGGAGGAGGCUAAAUCCACUUGCCCACUCCGAGAGCUGCUUCUGGAGCUGGCUUUCAACAGUCUCUGCCUGGGUCUCUCUCUCUCAGCUGGAGCUCAGUCAGGCAUUCAUCCAGAGACUGAAGGCUAGGUCCACCGGCCAACUUCGAGAGCUGUUUCUGGGCCUGGAAACUCAACACUGACUGCCUCUUCUGGAAGCCUCAAAUCAGAUUCUGUUACUCUCAUCACCCCACUGGGAACCAUCAACACGGCUGGCUAGCCUAUCUUCAAAGAAGCAUCUUCCAGAGCGAAUGGAAAUAGAAUGAACUCUAUAGUUCUGUUCAGGACUACACAACAAAUCACCGGAUGACUGCAGAGGAGAGCAACAGUAGAAGUCGGGUGGAGACCCCUUUUGGACAAUCAGAGCCUUACAAGCGUGCCGCAAAAGGCAGAGAAACAAAGGAUUUUCACGUAAAUACAUUCAUGAUUGCUUACUCCAAGCGGCCGUGGUUGGUGUGCCAAGUGAGAGUAGUUUAUAAAUGUACCAACGUAUCUCUGUCCCUCUCUCUCUCUCGCCCUCGCCAUGUCUUUUUGUAAUAAGCAGUCAUAUUGUUGUCAGUCCGCUAGGGACCUGUUUCUUAUGUAUCAAGUGUGUAUGUUUAUCCUG